GAGAGCCUGAUUCCUCCGCCUCCUCUGCCUUAGCUGGGCUCCCAGGGACCCCCUCCCCAGGCCCUGAGCUGGCUCUGGGACAGCCUCGGCGCCCCCACGAGCUGCCCCCCUUUCUCUCAUUGCCAGGCCUUCACACCCCCCACCCCUCAAGCACAGGUAGGCUCCGCACCCGGCCCCCGGGUGACUGCGGAGGCCUCCCAGGGAAGGAGGAAGUGCGGAGGGCCUGGUCCCCUUCCCUUCCCCGUUGUCUCCUCCGGGCCCCUCCCUCCCUGCACCCCUCCCCCCACCUCCCCCAACAUGUGACAUAGGAGCAGAGGGUGCAGCUGCCAGGUGCCUCUGGGGGUGGCUGGGAGGAGGCCCGUCAUAGGCAGAACCUGCCUCCUCCCUGUCGGCCUGGCCCCCGGACCCUCAGCAAAGAGGUGCGCUUCUCCAGAUGCGGAGGCUCCGUGGCUCGUCUUCUCACCCGAGUCUGUGACCUGCUGGCCAAUCCAUGACACCCCGUCGUCCAAUAAAGUCCGUGUCGGUGGCUCAUUCCCGCACUUGUUAGUGGUGCUCUUUUCUGUGUCUGGGCUGAUGGAGGACAGUACGGGGCACUGUCUCUGCAACAGCGGGCUCCCCAAGGAGACCUGUCCUUGAAGGACCCAGGCUAUGCCAAGGCCUCCCGGGCUGCUGCUGGGCAGGGCGGGGCGAGGGCAGGGGGAAGGGUCCACUGUGUAAAGCGAGGGGCCAGAGGCCCAGGCCCGGUGGGGUCGUCGGGUCACUGCUCAACCAGGACCUGUUUGGAAAGGCAACAUUUUCCUUCUCCAGACCUCACCUGGUCGAGGCUGGACUGGCCCUGAAGCCCUCCCGGCCCUGACGCCAGACAGUCCUGCCGAAUAAGCCCAUCCGUCUGUAUCCAGACCUGUGCCGGCUCCACUCUCCUGCCAGAGUCAGAUUCUGCAAUGCUGCUUCCUGCCCAGGACCCAGAGUUUCUAAGCAGACGACUCUGAGCUCACAUGGGGCUCCUGGCUCCAGAGGACAGGGGGUUGGGCCAUUUUGAGAAGGACCACGCAGCCCACGAGCCUGCAGAGGAGAGUUCACUGAGAAGGAGGUUUUACUGAGCUGUCCAGCUGAAUAUCUCCUGUGGAUGAGAGAAGGCAGCAGAGCCACCAGCGCGUGCCCUGGUUGGAGGUCCGACCGGACAGCGAGCACCUCCCAGUGCUGCUGGGUCUUGAUGGCCGUGCUUAGAGGUCAACACUCAGAGCCCCCGUGAGUGGCUGACCCUUCCAGCUCAAGUCUCGGACAGUGCCUUCAGGGCAAACUCUGAUCACUCCAAGCCAUCCCCUGAGGCCUCAUGGUUGGGGGUAACUGACCCAAGGGGCCAGCCUCCGUGGACCAGAGGGAUCUAGGUUCCAGUCCAGCUCGGCUGUAUGAUGUCCCCUCACCCCGCAGUGCCAAGUGAAGAGACAUCCCUGAGCUCCUGUGAAGGGCCGGGUGGGCCGUCACGUCCUAUUUGUUCCUGGAGGCAUUUCCAUAGGCUGGUUACUCCCGCUCAUCACAUCAGGCCCCCUGCCCAGGGCAAGCUGGGUCCUAGUGGGAUGUGGCAGAAGGUACUGCCAGCUUCAGCCAAGCCCAGCCUCUAGCCCUGGGCACUGGCCUUAACUUCCAGGCGUGGCGCUACGUACGACACAGCGAAGGGGACCCAGGUGCACAACAGGUGUAUGUAACGUGGUGUGUCCAGCCUGGAGCACAGACGCCCGUCCUUCUCAGAGCUGACCUCAGCUUCUGGUUUAUCACAGCUCUGGCCCCUGGUGGGAGCUGAGGGAUUGCAUUUCUCAGGUCGUGCUCAGGAUAAGCCACACUUCUGGAACGGGGGUUAUAGGCUCAGUGCGCAGCCUCAGUAAGUGGGCACCCCUAGUGACAGCUUUCAGAGGGUGAAAGCCUGUGCCUCUUUGCUAACUCAGCAAAUAGCAGCAGCCUCUAAAUUGCUUUUUUAGUAAAGCUGGGUUCGCUUUCUCCAGCCCAGCUAGCCAAUCACGUCUACUUCCUCACAUGCCGAGCUCAUUCAAAACCACUAAGCAUUUAGUGCACCUACUGUGUGCGGGCACUGUGACAUGUGAGAAAGGAUCAGGAGGGGAGAGGCAUAGAAAAAAAUGCUGGUCAGCCCUUCCAGUCUAGAAGCUCCCCAUGGCACUGGGCAUCAGUCAGCUUGGUGAAGAAGCUCAUACAAGGAGCCACACAAGCUCGUGAAUAAUGCAGUGCAAAGCAGAGGCAAGUGAUGGAGUUCCCGCUGUCGCUCAGUGGGUUAAGAACCUGACUAGUAUCCAUGAGGAUGCGGGUUAGAUACCUGGUCUCAGUUAAGGAUCCGGCGUUGCUACAAGCUGCAGCUUGGAUCCCAUGUUGCUGUGUUGCUGUGGUGUAGGCUACAGCAACCGCAGCUCCGAUUUGACCCCUCGUCUGGGAACUUCUAUAUGCCAUAGGUACGGCCCUACAAAGAAAAAAAAAGGCAGAGGCAGGGAAGGAUAGUGUAGGACACACAGCUCUGGUGCUCAAAGGACAUGGGACAGGAGAUAUCAGGCCAGCAUGGCCAAGGGAUAUUUCCUGAGCACCUCCUGGGUGCAGUGCCUGUUCUAGGCAUGGUGGAGGGCAAAAAUAGGAAAAGUGCCACCAGAGCCAGAUUUGCCAUGAACGUGCCACGCCCCUAGGUCCUGUUCCGUUCUUUGGGCCUCCUGCCCACACAGCAGACACAACUCCUCCCAUGCAGCCACCCCUGUCCACCACCCCCCCAGCGCACACAGUGUACACGCAACCUGAGCCCGGCUCCUGGUCCCUGCGUUCAUUUCCUAGGGCAGCCGCAGCAAGUACCAAAAACCAGGAGGCUUUAAAUAGCAGGAAGUUACUCCCUCCCAGUUCUGGAGGCCAGAAGUCCCUCUGAUGGUUGCGGGCAAUCCAUGCGGUCCCUGGGCUUGCAGCCGCAUCGCUCCAGCCUCCACCUCCGUCUUCGCCCGGCCUCCUUCCUGGGCCUCUGUCUUCACGUGGGCCUCUCCUCUGGGUCUUCUCUGGGUCUGUGUCCAGUUUCCCUGUCUUGUAAGGAAACCAGUUGUUGGGAUAGGACCUCGUUUUACCUUAAUUACAUCUCAAAACCCUGUCUCCUUUACACUAAGGUCCUGUUCACAGGUUCAUGGGGAUAGGAAUUUGGGGCAGGGUGGGUGGGGGACACUGUUGCAGCCAGUGCCGUCCCUGAGGGUCUGGUACCUUUCAGGAGGCUGAGGUACUUGAGUGAAGAAGUCAUGACUUCCUACCUCCCGUAUCAGCUUCUGGGCCUGUCAGAUACCAUCUGGUACCAAGUGGUCUUGGGCCCUUGUGAUCACACAAAAUUUGGGAGAAAUCACCCUGCCGGUGACAAGAGUACAGAGACUUUGCACACGGCUUGUGUCCAAGAGUGGGAGUGGGACACGCCGAGCAUGUGACUUGUGGGGCCCCAGGGCCUGACCCAUGUGGCCAGCGUGUGGCCUGGCCCCCCCACAGGGCCAUCAUACCCAGGGCAAUGGCAGGCCCCAAAGGGGUCUGCAUAUCUCCUGUUCCAAGCUGAGGCAGGUGGCAUCCCGUCCCAUCCUAUCCAAGCCGUGGUCUCCGUGAUGUCCCUGCGUGCUCUGGGCAUGUUUCAGCCCCGCCCUGUGGUCCCCACUCCCUGUCUGAGUCGGGGAGGGAGCUGGGACAGAAAUACCUUUGUUGGACGCUUGCCAGGCGCCACGGUUAGAUUUCACUCACUGCAGCUGCCACCAGAAAUAUGGAAAGCUCUUCUCUUCAAAUCUUGACAGGAGCGACUCUACAGCAAUGCAUGGCACCAGCUGGAGGGUCAGUGACACUUCGAGCUGUCCCCGGGGUGGCCCUGCCCUGGAGAAGGUCUGUCUGGAAGGGCCUGGUGGUUUUCCAGGCGUCAGGCCUCUGAGGAGGUUGGAGAAGAUUCGCCAAAGCUGGCGAUGGACAGGCUUCCAGAGUGUGAGGGCUGCCGGCGGACUCCCGGGUGCCGAGGGCCCUCUGCCCCGGCCUUCUCAAGUGGGCUUUCUUCCCUUGGCAGGAUUGCUCUUGGCUUCUCCACCUGUGUGUUUCUGUUUUUCCUUUUGGUUUAAUAGCCACUUUGCUCAUUUCCCCCUCAGAAGUGUUCUCGGUCCCAGAGGGCAAUUUUUUUAGGUUAGAAAGUAGAACAGCUAACUUCUUGUCCACCUGUUUCUCAGACACCAGGAGUAGCAAAGAGGCUCAGCCUGACCCAGUGCUGCCCUGAAGGCUCCUUUUACUGCCCAGACAGUCUAGGGUUCCAGUCAGGCUUGGCCUGGUAUAUGGGUGGCCCUAGGAUGGGAACCCUGGCCCCACAGACUAUAUAAAAUAGGAAUGGAAAAUGCUGCAACACAUUUGGGGAAAAGCUUGGCAGUUUUUUUAAAAGUUGAACAUAAAUUUACAAGACACCCCAACACUUCCACUUCUAGGAAUAGACCCAAAGGGAAAGGAAAACCUAUGACCACACAAAGACUCGUGCACAAAUACCCACAGCAGCUUUAUUCGCCAUGGCCAGAAAGUGGGAGCAGACACCAAGUCCAUCAGCCAAUGAAUGGAUAAGUAAAAUUGGGACAGGGAGUUCCCGUUGUGGCUCAGUGGAGACAAACCCAACUAGUAUCCUUGAGGAUGCAGGUUCAAUCCUUGGCCUCGCUCAGUGGGUUAAGGAUCUGGCGUUGCCGAGAGCUGUGGUAUAGGUCGAAGACAUGGCUUGGAUCCGAAGCAUAGUCCAUCAGCUGCAGCUCUGAUUCCAUUCCUAACCUGGGAACUUCUAUAUGCCUCGGAUGCAGCCCUCGAAAAUAAAUAAAUAAAUAAAUAAAUAAAAUUGGGACAGGCACACAAUGGAACAUGAUUCAGCAACAAAAAAGAAUGAAGUGCUGACACAUGCCACAACACGAAUCAACCCCAAAACCAUUACACUGAGAGAAGCUAGACGCCAAAGACCACAUACUCUCUGACUCUGAUCUGAAAGUUCCAGCAGACAGAUCUACAGAGACAGAAAGUAGUAGUAGCUGCCUUCGGCCGGAGGUGGCAAGUGGAUUUUAGGGGGGUAGGGGGGAAUGAGGAAGUGUUCGAAAUGUUCCAAAACUGGUUUAUCGUAAUGAUUGCACAAUUCUGUACGUUUACUGAAAUCAUUUAAUUAUACACUUGAUGCGGGUGAAUUCUUAAAUUAUACCAUUAAAUUACACCUCAAUAAAACCGUUAAGGAAA
rnacentral:lncRNA from 1 species